AUGACCACAUCACGUUGAACACCUGUCCUCAUACGAUCUUCUAUGUUAAGCAACGUCGAACCUGAUCAGUAGUUAGAUGGGUUACUGCUUGGAAAUACCGGGUGCUGUAAG